rnacentral:misc_RNA from 1 species
GUAGGUGAACCUGCGGAAGGAUCAUUACCGAGUGUCGGGUUUGCCCCCAAGGCGCCCACCUCCAACCCUGUGUCAAUUGUACCUUUUGUGUUGCUUCGGCGGGCCCGUUGCCCGGGUUCACGCCUGGACGACCGCCGGGGGAGUCUACAGCUCUCCGGGCCCGCGCCCGCCGACAGCCUCUUAAAAAUCACAUAAACAAGUCUGAAAUCAUUAAAGAUUAAUUAAAUUAAAACUUUCAACAACGGAUCUC